GACGUAGGGCGCGAGCGUUGUCCGGAUUUAUUGGGCGUAAAGAGCUCGUAGGCGGCUUGUCGCGUCGAAUGUGAAAACUCGGGGCUCAACUCCGAGCUUGCAUUCGAUACGGGCAGGCUAGAGUUCGGUAGGGGAGACUGGAAUUCCUGGUGUAGCGGUGAAAUGCGCAGAUAUCAGGAGGAACACCGGUGGCGAAGGCGGGUCCCUGGGCCGAAACUGACGCUGAGGAGCGAAAGCGUGGGGAGCAAACAGG
rnacentral:rRNA from 1 species